GUAACAGGAAAUAAGAAUAAGUAUUAGGAUAUAAGUAUUAGGAUAUUGGGAUAUUAGUUUAUUUUAAAUAAUAGUUUAUUUUAUGUCAUUUUACAUUUUUAUCCUUAGGGUUGUAUUUAAAGGUCUUGUGUCUCAUUUUGACAAUCAAUGAAUGAAUGAAACAUUAUCUUCUUCUCUUAAAAACAACCACUUUGCCACAUGCUUUUUUUAUUAGCCAAGCCAAUUUCUGUUGGAUGACAACUGCAAAAACAUAUAUUAAGCUGAGAGCACUGUUGGAAGCUUGUUGCCAAGUUAACCA
rnacentral:lncRNA from 1 species